rnacentral:rRNA from 1 species
AAUGAACGCUGGCGGCACGCUUAACACAUGCAAGUCGAACGGGAUCUUCGGAUCUAGUGGCAGACGGGUGAGUAACGCGUGGGAACCUGCCCAGUAGUAGAGAAUAACUUGAGGAAACUUAAGCUAAUACUUUAUACACCCUUCGGGGAAAAGCUUUAUGCGCUAUUGGAUGGGCCCGCGUUAGAUUAGUUUGUUGGUGAGGUAAUGGCUCACCAAGACUACGAUCUAUAGCUGGUCUGAGAGGAUGAUCAGCCACACUGGGACUGAGACACGGCCCAGACUCCUACGGGAGGCAGCAGUGGGGAAUAUUGGACAAUGGGGGCAACCCUGAUCCAGCGAUGCCGCGUGAGUGAUGAAGGCCUUCGGGUUGUAAAACUCUUUCGUCAGGGAAGAUAAUGACGGUACCUGAAGAAGAAGAUCCGGCUAACUCCG